UAUAAAUCAUGUGUGCAAGGCUCCAAUGAGCAGAAACUAGUGAGUUCACUAGCUGAUGUGGGAGUUCUUCUUUAAGAAAGGUGUUGAUGAGGCAUGUUGCUUUCAACAUUAGCCUCAUGCUGGGUUAAAUGCCUUACACACAUUGCUUUGCUCAGUUUGCACCAAAGUCCUGUGAGUUAAAUGAUAGCCUCCUUAUCCUACUGUUGAGUGAACCAAAGAGCAAAGAGUUGAAGUCACUCUUCCAAUACCAUAUUCCAACAAGCAGCAACAUUAGGAUUUGAUCUAGGCCUCUCUGCCACAACAGUACGGCUCUCAUUGUAGAAGGAUUACUAGGAGAAGCACUAAGGUCUUAAAGGUAGAAAUGAGGUGCAUCCUGUUAAUUCACAGGGCAGCUUAGGGAUGAUCUCAGGGCUGGGUCAGAAUGACAGCAUGUAUGAGAGGGAAAACGAUGGCGGGCAUAUCUUCGGCAGAGUUAUAGCCAUGUAUAUUUCAUAGACAGUACUAACUGUGCAUUUUGUCCAGUGCAAUCACCGUUUUCAGAAAUGAUUUAUGUACCUCUAGUUUCCUUUGCCAAAUGAGGGCAUUUCAGACCAUAGCAUCCUUUAGCAAGUUCAUCACAUUCAUUCAUGUUUUGAGAGACCUCUUUAGGUACUCACAGAGUAAAGCACGUCAGUCCUGUGUUGCGGUGUUAACAUCCUUUGUUUGCUUUCCUGGAGAUGAAAUUGAAAUGCAGGUGUUGCGCGGUGAGUACUACCCAGUACUGAAAUAUGAAGGGAAAACAUCACCUCAGCUGAUGACAGAGGGAGAUGCGGAUGGAGGUCAUCUCCAUCCCAAGACUUCAUACAAUUCUGACUUUGAGUCAGACUUAAAUGAGCAUGAAGAACAUUUGGCUAAAAUACUCGGUAAGUUACCUUCUCAUUUGAAACCAUCAGGAUUAUUAGAAGAGUCCCCUGCUUGCCAUUGGUUGUCUCCCAUAUCACUGUUUUUCCUGCUUUGAGGGAAUAUAAGCAGUUUGCUUUUUGGGUAGAAUCAGUUUUUUUAAGUCAAAAUCCUGAGUAAUAAAGCAAAACAUACAAGAUAAACA
rnacentral:lncRNA from 1 species